rnacentral:rRNA from 1 species
CGCAAGCCUGACGGAGCAAGACCGCGUGCGGGAUGACGGCCUAAUGGUUGUAAACCGCUUUUCUCUGGGAAGAUGAUGACGGUACCAGAGGAAUCAGCCUCGGCUAACUCCGUGCCAGCAGCCGCGGUAAUACGGAGGAGGCAAGCGUUAUCCGGAAUUAUUGGGCGUAAAGCGUCCGUAGGUGGUUAUUCAAGUCUGCUGUCAAAGCGUGGGGCUUAACUCCAUAGAGGCAGUGGAAACUGGAUGACUUGAGUGCGGUAGGGGUCGAGGGAAUUCCCAGUGUAGCGGUGAAAUGCGUAGAUAUUGGGAAGAACACCAGUGGCGAAAGCGCUCGACUGGGCCUGCACUGAUACUGAGGGACGAAAGCUAGGGGAGCG